rnacentral:rRNA from 1 species
CAGUCGCCGCGGUAAUACAGAGGGUGCGAGCGUUAAUCGGAUUUACUGGGCGUAAAUCGUGCGUAGGCGGCUUCUUAAGUCGGAUGUGAAAUCCCUGAGCUUAACUUAGGAAUUGCAUUCGAUACUGGGAAGCUAGAGUAUGGGAGAGGAUGGUAGAAUUCCAGGUGUAGCGGUGAAAUGCGUAGAGAUCUGGAGGAAUACCGAUGGCGAAGGCAGCCAUCUGGCCUAAUACUGACGCUGAGGUACGAAAGCAUGGGGAGCAAACAGGAUUAGAUACCCCGGUAGUCCCUGUCUCUUAUAC